rnacentral:rRNA from 1 species
GGCCCAGACUCCUACGGGAGGCAGCAGUGAGGAAUAUUGGUCAAUGGGCGGGAGCCUGGACCAGCCAAGUCGCGUGAGGGAAGAAGGUACUGAGUAUUGUAAACCUCUUUUGCCAGGGGACAAAGGCGGCCACGGGUGGCCGUAAGAGGGUACCUGGAGAAAAAGCAUCGGCUAACUCCGUGCCAGCAGCCGCGGUAAUACGGAGGAUGCGAGCGUUAUCCGGAUUUAUUGGGUUUAAAGGGUGCGCAGGCGGCGUGUCAAGUCAGCGGUAAAAUGUCGGGGCUCAACCCCGGCCGGCCGUUGAAACUGGCGAACUCGAGAGGGAGAGAAGUAGGCGGAAUGCGCAGUGUAGCGGUGAAAUGCAUAGAUAUUGCGCAGAACUCCGAUUGCGAAGGCAGCCUACCGGCUCCUGUCUGACGCUGAGGCACGAAAGCGUGGGUAUCGAACAGGAUUAGAUACCCCGGUAA